rnacentral:SRP_RNA from 1 species
UCGUGCAGCCGGGGUGUUAGCGGUACCUUGUACCUGCAAUCCGCUAUAGCAGGGGUGAUGUUGCGCAGAGGGCUUAUGUUUGUGAGGCUGCCCUUGGUAAGUGACGUUGAUGUCUGGGUCUUACGCGACGGAAAUCUAUGAAUCGUGUCAGGCUGGGAACAGAGCAGCACUAAGUAGAACCUUCCGGGUGCCGUAAGGGUGCCUGGGCUGAGUUAACUGCCAAGGUAACGUUCAUGAAUUUUUGUUCGAAGCGUAACGCACGG